AUGAGCAAGGUGGGUGGCCAAAUCACUUGCAGUUCAUGCAAUAGGACAGGCCAUAACAUGAAAAGUUGCACAAAUAAUGCUGCUGCAACUAAGCAUCAUGGAAAUGCACAUAUUGUCAGAGAAAGGUCUAGGAAAAGGAAACUACAGAAAGAAGCCUAUGAGGCAGAAACUUCAAAGAAAUCAAAGGCUGAAGAAGUUGCAAGGCAGAGCAAGGGAAAGGCUGUAGCUCAAGACCUACAAGUGCACGAGUGCAAACGACCUACAGGCAUUCAAAUUAGGGAGCCAAAUUCACAACCGAGCUCAUUGCCUGUGUCACAACCAAGCUCGCUGAAAUAUGAUAAGAAUGCUCCAGGCAGCAAGGCUAGAUCAGCAAAGGUUCAGAGAAGUGCUGCUACUCCAUUUGUUCCACCUAAACAAGUUACAAAUUUGCCACAACAUUGUGUCUUCAAUUUGGCUGGAUACAAAGAAGCUAAGAAAGGCAGAGCAGGUCCUCCAGUUUGA
rnacentral:rRNA from 1 species